UGAUAGCUUCUUUUUUCGUUGCUUUUUCGAAUCAUGGACAUGGCAGCUGUUCGCCGCGGCGUCGUCGAUCGCAGUGAUCGGCAAGGGCCGAAGCUGAUCGCCGUGAUCAUUGGCGAGGCGCUGUUGCCCACACGCCUGCAUGGCGGGCGCGCGACCGUUGUUGGCCCGCUGAGCCCCCUCAGUCCCUCCCCUCGCAUUCCGGCUGCGCUGCUGCCGGUGUGCAAUACCCCCGUCAUCGACUAUGUGCUUGAAAACUUGGUCCUUAACGGGGUGGAUGAGGCGACCAUCCUGCUCAACUCCUCCUCUGCGGCGAAGACGAUUGCGCACCUCUCCGAGUGCCGCACGGCGCGUGGCAAGCCGUGGAUGCUGAGUGACUCCAUAAACGUGACGGUGGUCGAGUGCGCGCGCCGAAUCAGCACGCUGGCGGACGCCGCGGACGAGAUGCGGGAGCGCAACGUCGUUCCGCAAAACGGUUCGUUCCUGCUCGUCCCGAUCGACACGGUGGCCUCCUUCACGAACCUGCGCGCGUGCUAUCAGACACACCUGGAGCGGGUGCGCAAGGUGAGCAAGUACGCCGCAACGUUGCUGUGCGUCUCCUCUCGCUCCGCUCUUGCGGCAGCCCUGCGCAAUUCCUUGAUGAACCACCUCGCUGAAGCAGAGGAGGUGAGCUCUCAGUCCCCCGUAUCCCCGAUCGGCGGCAGUGGCCGCCACGGCGUACUUAGCAUCCGGCAGACGUCGGAGAUGCUGCGCCUUCGCAACUACACGGCCCCGGUGCUUCCGCGGGAGCGCCACACCAUGUUCGUGCUCAACAAGGCAACGCAAGUUGUGACGUACAUGGCGCGCUUCGAAAACGGCGAGGAGGCACCGGAGCCGCCGGCGGUGGCGUUCAGCAGCAGUGCCCCGCAGUCGGUGCGCAUGGACCUCUUGCCGACCGGCUACAUGUUUUGCUGCUGCGAGGCGCUCUCCCUAAUCGAGUUUCACAUUCGCGACCUCUACAGUUUCCUCAGCACAUCUCUGCUAGGCCAGACGGAGAUCUACGGCAACGUCUUCGGUCUCAUCGAGCUACCCUCAUCCUCGGCGGUGCUGGAGCCGAUAAACAGCGCGGAGGCGUACAUCCAGUGCAACCUCGACGUGUGCGCGCGGCGGCUUUUUCCGAUGACGCGGGAGAGCUGCUUUGCCGAGGAGUUGGCCAAGUACGCCGUCUCCUCGACGUGCGAAACUGUCUACCUGCACACGACCGCCAGGUGCGCAAGCAGCAGCCUCAUGGGCCCGAAUGUGGUAGUAGGCGAGGAGGUGAGCGUGCCGGCCUCGGUGGAGCUGGCCGGGACAGUGCUCGGCGCGCGGGUCGAGCUAGGCGAUGAGGCCUCGCUGCGCAGCUGUGUCGUGAUGGAGGGCGCCCGAAUUGGGCGUCGGUGUGUGCUGCACGGGUGCCUGAUCGGGCCCCACGCCGUGAUUGGAGAUGGCGCGGAGCUCUCCUACGUCGUUGUGGGGGAGCGCUGUGUGUUGGACGGGGUAACCAUUAGCGGUGCACCACUCGUUCUGCAGCAUCAGGCGAUCGAGUGCGACGUGGACGAUAUCAGCGGCACAGACGAGGACGGCGUUUCAAGAGGUGACGAGGGCGAGGAGGGGUCGUCUUCCUCAUCUCUCUCCAGCAGCAGCGAGGGCGCCGUAGGCCACAAGACGGACAAGCUGCUCACCGGCGCCAACGGCCGCGGGCACGCGCUUGAGGACCGCUACAGCAGCAACAUUCUCCCAACCAGUGCGCUCUUCACGGAGGACCCGGUGGCGCGCCCGUCGCAGAGCGAUGGCGAGGGUGAAUCCUCUGAGGAGGACGACGAGCAAGUGCUGUUUCGCCGCAGCAUUCAGCGCCACGUCCAGGCGGCGCUCCUGCAACCGUCCCGCAUCGAAUCCAGCAGCUACGACAUGUCCACCAUCUGCCUCUCCAGCGGCUUCGGCUACCCCGAGCUGUGCGAGAUCGUCACGGAGCUGCUCAUGGAGCACCUCCUCAGUACACAUCGCGACGAGUCCCCGGCGAACAUAGUCGAGGCCGCGCGAGAUAUGUUCCACACAUGGUGCCGGCCGUUCUACAGCAACUUCCUGUCCAAGAACCAGCAGCCGAACAUGGACGCGAUGGUCGCGACGCUCGAGGGGCUGUGCGGUGCCAUCGGCGGCGAGAACUGUCCGCUGCGCUGCUACGGCCCGCAGCUCGUGGAGAUUCUCUACUACGGUUGCGACGAUGACCUCUACAAUGAGCGCGGCUACUGCAUUGUGAGCGGCGAGAGCUUGAUCGCCUUCGACGCGGAGAUGGAGCACCGGCGUGAGGUGUUGCAGCGCUACACCGCCUUCAAGGGUGGCCGGGUCAAGAACAGGGGCGCCGCAAGGCUGUCGAGCAGCAACUCCGACACAUCCAGCAGCAGUAGCAGCAGCACCAGUAGCGGCGACGAUGAAGAGUCGCGUGACCUGCACGAGGAAGGCAAGGUGCUGGUCGCCGUCAGCUGCCACGACUUCAUUAUGGGUGUGAAGGACUUCCUCGAGGCUGAGUAGGGUGUCCGUGGGAGGAGUGGGUGGAAGAGGAAGGGCGAGGGGAGCUUCCAGCCCAAAGGGAGGAGGGGGAGAGGCACAAGGCGCACGCGGGCAGCGACGAAGCGGCCCCCGCUCCCCAUCUUUCAGCGUUCUUCCCCCCUCCCCCACACCCUGAGCGCAUAGAAACACAAAGCCAAUAUGGCUUCACAGAGGGCUCGAGUGCACGGAAGUGCUGAUAACGUUGACCACCUGUGCUUUCCCAUUCUCUGCCUCCCCAUGAUCUUCAACCCGUCCUCACGCGCUGGCUCUUUCGCUGAGGCUCCGGGGCUGAGAAGUCAUUUUCUGAUAACGAGCAGCGGAGUGCAUAUGCGUCCACCUUGAACCAUCUAAGCAGGCCGCAAGCGUAAACGUGACGCAGCCUUCUCAUCAAGGGUGGGUGGGUGGAAUCCCAAGAGGUGCUCUGUUUCUCUAUCGGUGUUUUGUGUGUACGAGUGCAUUCCUAG
rnacentral:misc_RNA from 1 species